AGCUAAGUCAACUGUACUAUUAAAGCUUCAUUUGGCGUUGUUGAUUCAAUAAACACUUAAAACUUGUGAUCCUUAUGAUUGUGAACUGGGAAGUAUAUAGAAUUGGAUCCAGGAAUAUUCUGUCAUAUUUUCUGAAAAACAAUAGCAAGUUUUGACAGAGACCAAAUGGAGAAUUGAGAUUCUGCACUCCUCUUGUGAACCAUUGCGAAGGCAAGGGUACUCAAAAAGAGAAUCAUUAACCUCGGAGCCAAUUUUUCAAGACCAUUCCUUGUAGUAAUUUUAUGUCAAUAUGAUGGAAGGCCUUGGAUUGUGUAGCUCUUAGAAAGAGUUGUGUCAUUCUUCAAGGAUCACAAAGGCCCAAUCUCAAAUCAUCUUAUAUCGUUGUUCUACACAUGAGCUGAAAGGUUCUCUUUUUUUGCUCCUCCCUCAAUUGACAUGGGAACACGAGAGGUAUAUGAAGAAAAACUGAAGAGAGGGAAUCUCCAUCAUGAUCCUACAAUCAAACCUGGCCUCGGCUCUGCUAGAUGUCCUCGUUGUCUUUCUCUGUUGAACUCCAAUUCAAAAAGUGGAGAAUGGGCAAUUACUCCUGUUCUGCAUGAUUUCACUGUUGUGG